GAAAAAGUGUGGAAAAUCAAGGAAAACAAGUGAAAAAGGUGGUGAGCCCUCUAACAAGGAUAAAGAGAUUGUGCACGAAGAUCGAAAAUAGGAGUAUAUCGAACUCCUAGUAUUGCUCAGAGUAGGUUGUAGAUAGCUGAUUCUAUCGAGGGCUUCCAUUGGACUUGCGUCCUCCGAACUGUAGGUUCACCGUUUUCCUCACUUCUAGUCAUUCAUGGGCCCGCUUGAUAUUGUAAAUUAAAUUAAAUUAAAUUAAAUGCAUUGGUUUACUGUGUCA